CCUACGGGAGGCAGCAGUGAGGAAUAUUGGUCAAUGGACGAGAGUCUGAACCAGCCAAGUAGCGUGAAGGAUGACUGCCCUAUGGGUUGUAAACUUCUUUUAUACAGGAAUAAAACGAGGCACGUGUGCCUUUUUGCAUGUACUUUAUGAAUAAGGAUCGGCUAACUCCGUGCCAGCAGCCGCGGUAAUACGGAGGAUCCGAGCGUUAUCCGGAUUUAUUGGGUUUAAAGGGUGCGUAGAUGGGUUGUUAAGUCAGUUGUGAAAGUUUGCGGCUCAACCAUAAAAUUGCAAUUGAUACUGGCAGUCUUGAGUACAGUUGAGGUAGGCGGAAUUCGUGGUGUAGCGGUGAAAUGCUUAGAUAUCACGAAGAACCCCGAUUGCGAAGGCAGCUUACGAAACUGUGACUGACAUUGAUGCUCGAAAGUGUGGGUAUCAAACAGGAUUAGAUACCCCUGUAGUC
rnacentral:rRNA from 1 species